rnacentral:rRNA from 1 species
GACGAACCGUGCGAACGUUGUUCGGAAUCACUGGGCUUAAAGGGCGCGUAGGCGGGCCGGAUAGUCUGUGGUGAAAGCCUCCAGCUUAACUGGAGAAGUGCCAUGGAUACUGCCGGUCUGGAGGAGGGUAGGGGCAUCUGGAACGCUGGGUGGAGCGGUGAAAUGCGUUGAUAUCUGGAGGAACACCGGUGGCGAAGGCGGCAUCCUGGACCGGUAUUGACGCUGAGGCGCGAAAGCUAGGGGAGCAAACGGG